GACGAACGCUGGCGGCGUGCUUAACACAUGCAAGUCGAACGGAAAGGCCCAGCUUGCUGGGUACUCGAGUGGCGAACGGGUGAGUAACACGUGGGUGAUCUGCCCUGCACUCUGGGAUAAGCCUGGGAAACUGGGUCUAAUACCGGAUAUGACCAACUGUCGCAUGGUGGUUGGUGGAAAGCUUUUGCGGUGUGGGAUGGGCCCGCGGCCUAUCAGCUUGUUGGUGGGGUAAUGGCCUACCAAGGCGACGACGGGUAGCCGACCUGAGAGGGUGAUCGGCCACACUGGGACUGAGACACGGCCCAGACUCCUACGGGAGGCAGCAGUGGGGAAUAUUGCGCAAUGGGCGAAAGCCUGACGCAGCAACGCCGCGUGAGGGACGACGGCCUUCGGGUUGUAAACCUCUUUCAGCAGGGAAGAAGCGAAAGUGACGGUACCUGCAGAAGAAGCACCGGCUAACUACGUGCCAGCCGCCGCGGUAACAC
rnacentral:rRNA from 1 species